UACGUAGGGUGCGAGCGUUAUUCGGAAUUACUGGGCGUAAAGGGUGCGCAGGCGGCGUCGCAAGUCAGGCGUGAAAUCCCCGGGCUUAACCUGGGAACUGCACUUGAAACUACGAUGCUGGAGUAUGGCAGAGGGAGGUGGAAUUCCACGUGUAGCGGGGAAAUGCGUAGAGAUGUGGAGGAACACCGAUGGCGAAGGCAGCCUCCUGGGCCAAUACUGACGCUCAUGCACGAAAGCGUGGGGAGCAAACAGG
rnacentral:rRNA from 1 species